rnacentral:lncRNA from 1 species
UCUAGAAAAGGUAGAUUGCCUGUAACUAUUUUUUUCUCUAACUCAAGCACUCUCAUUAUAAUACUUAUAGAGCAGCCAGCUUUCGACAACAAUAGGAUACGACUUUGAUCAGCAGUUGGGAUGUUACGAUAAGCAGGAAGAAAUUGAACCUCUUUGUCAUCCAAUAACUCAUGAUUGUGAUGAUUGUUGAAAUAUGUAACCACUCAUUUUUCCUCAAAGCCAAUUGUUUUUAUAGCAACCAACAUCUUUGCACCACAAUUACAUUUUGAAGAUUUUCAUUUUCUUUGACAUUCCACUUCGUUAUUGUUGCGGUGUUUAACAAUACCACCACGAUGGCAAACAAAUUCCCUUUUAUAAAUAUCAGAUGGGUUCUUUUUAGACUCGUUUGUAUAAGAUUUGUAAAUGUGUUCGCGCCUGAUCGAAAAUCCAUUUUUUCGUGCAAAUAAAGAAUAAAAUUCAUAAGCAUCACCAUCAUUACUAAAUAUUUUCUCUUCAAAAGGAACCAACUCAUCAAUGUUACUGACAUGAGGAAAAUUUUCAUUUUGUGGCUCUUGAAAUGUUGAUGAAUUUAUAUAUUUAUCAUCUACACAUAUAGAAGAAUAAUCUUUAAGAACCUCAGAGUGCCAAUCACUACCAUCAUUAUUUUCUUC